rnacentral:misc_RNA from 1 species
AGAAUACCUUCAGUUACAUAAUCAAAUCAAAGUGGACCACAAUCAUUUCCAAUCACACUCAGAAAAUAUGAACUCAACAUGCAAAUAAAAGUAUGACACUUUCGAAUCGAGUUCAACAUGAGUUCAAGUGUUCGGUUCAAUGAAAAGUUUCAGUUCGAUUUAGUCCGAAAAUAAUAAUAAAUCAAUCAGUUCAGAUCAAACUAGUUCCUGAUACUCCUACCACUCUGGCGGCGAGUCACCAUAAGCCGAAGAUUUCCUCACUAGCGCGAAGGAGUAGAUGAGUUGAAGGUGAAGGUCUGGGUCUGGCUCGCCAUCUUGAAUCCCGUCUGUGUGUGCACAGUCCUUGCUCCGACCCAGCUUCAAACCGAGCAAAAAACCUGACCUGUGUAACAGGUCAUAAACACAAAUAAUCUCUUUUUAAAUCCUCAAAUCACACAAAUAAAUGUUUCACAGUUUCUGAGUUGUAACGUUACUGCUACGGUGUUUUUUCGUCUCAAAAUGGCAGCGGAGCGGUCUCUUUCAACUCACGGCUCCGUCUCCCACACAAACUACAGCGCAUACCUUUCAUUUAUACAGCUUACAGACACUUUUGUAACAUUCACAGUCUUCAUAAACCCAAAAAAUUUACUGAUAAACAGGUUAUGACGGAGCAUUUCCUUGUGAAUAGCUACGUUUUUAGCAUUAGCUUUCCGCUAAAAAGGUACAACGCAGCAAAAUUGCAAGAAAAUAAAAACAAAACUCACCAAAACCAGUGUGACUUAGUUCUCAUAAAAUCCCCGUCAGUUCCCGACCAGGUAAGUUAUAUUUUUCAACUGCUAAAUCAACUUUUUUCACUCUUUUUCUGCUUAUUAAUCGCAGCUCGUUUUUCUCCAUUUUCUCCUCUGCUCUCUCCCUCAGGUCUCUGCUGCAGCAUCACGCAGGCCCUGCGUGUAGUGUCACUAGUCCCUUAAAGGGGCACGCAUGAAAUUUCUGUCAGCAUACUUUUAAUCUUAACCAGAAACAUGUCACGCUAUAAUGUGAUCCGU